CCGAGGCGUGUCUCGAGCGCCCCCUGGUGGCAUGCUGCAAAGCUGCAUGGCUCUGGGGAGGAGAAAAACUGCACUUUAUUCUCAACAACAGGGUGGAACUGGGGGCUGGAGAGCCGCUCUGAGCUUGCCUUUGGAAAGGGGUGGGUGCAUGGAGCCUGGCAAGUGGCCGAGGGGCCGCACAGGGCGGUGCAGCAGGUGAGCCCAGCCCCUCCCCUCCACUCACGUCCCAUCGAGCCCCAGGGUGUGAGGGAUCACGUCUGUGCCCCUGUUCACCUCCAGGUGGGGCUCUGGUCCUCCGGGGACCCACUCUGCACCCCAAGUUUUGCCCAUCCCUUCUGUUCUACAGCAAGACCCACUCCUCUGUGCUGCGUGGCUGUGCGAGAGGGCUGCGACCCGGGGCUCUGAACCUGGGGCUGGCCCACCCAGCCACCCACACUGGGGAACAAGAUCGGCUGCCAGGACCAGAUGCUGGGGGGGGUCCCCACUUCCUAGGGUGCUGGAUAGGGGAUCACACGCCCCACAUUCUGGGCCAAGCAUGGUCCUGCCCCAGCAUCUCGCUGGGUUGGGGGCAUCUCCGAACAGACGAGUGUCGCCCCAGGGGUCUCUGCCAGAGUCUGUGCACAUCACCCUUGGGCAUCUGUGCUCAGGAGGUCACCAGGUGUGGGCAGAGCACCAAGCGGGAGGUGACUGAGGCUGGAAGAACAGACAUACAUCAGUGCCCCGCUGGGCUUCCGCAAGUGGGAAGCAGUGGAGGGGCUGGGCUGCCGGGCCAGGGUCAGCAGGCUCAGGGCUCAGAGUCCAGCCGGAAGCCAAGGUGGGAUCUGCCUCUCGCUGCUGCGAGGGUCCUGGGACAGGGACAGGAACAACAGAAGGCAAAGUGGAAAGAAGUGAGUAAUGGGCCCCCAGAAGGCUGAACCAGGCCUGAUGUCCAGGAUUGGGGUCUCCAGAGUCCCUGGGGGCCCCAGGGGAGCCCACCCACAGCCUGGGGUCUAUGGGAGCAGGGGGACUCCUGAUGGUUGGGGGCAGGAGCUUGGACAAAGUUGAAGGCUGUCUGAAUUGGCCGGGGGCCAGUGAAGGCCAAAAAAAGGCCAGGCGCGGUGGCUCACACCUGUAAUCCCAGCACUGUGGGAGGCCAAGGCGGGUUGAUCACCUGAGGCCAGGAGUUUGAGACCAGCCUGGCCAGCAUGGUGAAACCCCAUCUCUACUAAAAAUAUAAAAAUUAGCUGGGUGUUGUGGCGGGCCUGUAAUCCCAGCUACUUGGGAGGCUGAGGCAGGAGAAUUGCUUGAACCCAAGAGGCAGAAGUUGCGGUGAGUCAAGAUUGCACCACUGCAGUCCACCCUAGCAACAGAGUGAGACUCCAUCUCAAACACACACACACACACACACACACACACACACUAGCUGGGCAUGGUGGCAUGCACCUGUAAUCCUAGCUACUCGGGAGGCUGAAGCAGGAGAAUCACCUGAACCCAGGAAUUGGAGCUUACAGUGAGCCAAGAUAGCACUGUUGCACUCCAGCCCAGGUGCCAGAGUGAGACUCUCAAAAAAAAAGCCAAAAAGUUGAGUGGGGAGCAGGGUGCUGAGCUGCAUGGGGGCCUCUGCCCGCCGGGGGACCCCAGCCGCCUCCAACCCUUCCCCAGCUCAGGCCCUCAGGCUCCUUUCUCACGCAGCUGCCCUGAAAGGGAGUCCCUCCUUGCUGAGACCUGGGAGAGUGGGCUGCAGGGACCCUAGGGAUAGGCUGGGAUCCCCCAGGAGAACAAGAGGAUGGGACACACGAAGAGGCUGCUCUUGGGCCCCUAGGUCAGGCCAGCAGGACAAGGACAGGCAAGUGUUGUGACCUGAGGGACUGACCGUGGAGGUGCAGGGGAGCUCCCAGCCAGUCACACCCCAGCCUGAGCCCUGAGUGGUGCCCAGGCCUCUACACCUGCCUGCUUUCCCUGUGGCUAAUGGCUUGGAGUGAAGGAUGGUGGGCAUGGGCUUGCCACACGGGCUCAGCAUCCACUCUGCCCCAUACACACGCACCUAUCACACCAGGGCCUACAAGCAGGCAGCCAUCACACCCUGCCCCAUCACAGCAGUGCCCAGAGGGACACGAAGACUCCCAGCCAAGGGCCAGCCCAAGGUCACAGAGGACCCUGACUGGCCAGGCGCGGGGGCUCACGCCUAUAAUCCCAGCACUUUGGAAGGCCAAGGCAGGUGGAUUACCUGAGGUCAGGAGUUUGAUACCAGCCUGACCAACAUGGAGAAACCCUGUCUUUACUAAAAAUACAAAAAUUCGUUGGGCAUGGUGGCACGCGCCUGUAAUCCCAGCUACUCGAGAAGCUGAGGCAGGAGAAUUGCUUGAACCCGGAGUGCGGAGGUUGCAGUGAGCCGAGAUCACGCCAUUGAGCCCCAGCCUGGGCAACAAGAGUGAAACUCCGUCUUAAAAAAUAAGUAAAAAUAAAAUAAGAGAACUGUGACUGAUAGAACACCAGGGCUGUUUCCCAGCUCCUAACAACCACGAAGGAGCUUCUGAACUCAACCCUCCUGCCUCCCCAGCCUCAGUGGGACAGAGUUUCAACCCCUGCACCCUGGCCAGUGCCGGCCAGAUCUGGGCACCCGUGACCACAGUCACCUUCCCUCCCUCAGGGCCUCCUUGAUCCUCCACAUUUGGGAGUGGCGGGCCAAACCCGAGCUCCAGGCAUCCAGGCCCUCUGCCAUUACACCCCUCACCUGGCCACCUGGCUGUGUAUAGCUGGGGUCACACAGGCCCCUCCGCCACUCACCUGGGUCCACCUGCCUGUGCCUCCGCCUGGCACCCCUCCUCCAUGUGCUGCAGGCCUGGAGUCCGUCCCCAUGAGAAACCCAGACUCCAUGUCUGCACCCUUUCCCGUCUGCCUGGAGGUGGCAGCACCCAUGUCCACGUGUGUAUGGACUGUCCCCUGCUCCAGUCCUCUUUACCACACAGGAUGGGUCUUUGGGGCUGUGAGAGCCAACUCCGGGAAGACCCAGCCCUAUGUUCCCUGGGCUCCAGAUCUCCCACUUGCAUAGAAGGGUCUGCAGAGCAGGGGUAAGGCCUAGUUGAGUAUGGGGGAUGAUCCCGUGACCUCCCCUCCAGCUCCAUGGGAAGGUCCUCCUAAUUAGGGGACAGAAAUGCACUCUCUCUCUGGGGGUGCAAGAGCAGACCCCAGGCCCCCUGCUCAUGAAUCCAUCAACCAGGGCCCCAAACGGGGGAUGAGGGCGACGGAUUAACCCACACAGGCCACAUAUGCAGAAGCCGCAGGUCUGAAACAGACUUUAAUUGGUUUUUGUCUCUACAAUUCCCCACCCAUUCCUGGCUUUGUGGUUCUCCCUGACCCCUUCAGUUUGGGGGUCCAAACCGAACAGGAGAGGUGCAGGGGGACAGACGGUCUCCUGGCACAAAGGUGGGGCUCUCCCUGGCAAGGGGCCCAAGGGCCUGGUACCCGAGGCCCAGCUACAAGCACACAACCUCAAAACCUGUUUUUAGUGGGAAGGCCCUGGCUCUGCCCCUGCCCCUGGGGGUCACAUGGUCAGGGAACAGGUGGGCGUCUGUCCCCCUUCAGGUCACGGCAGCGCAGACGAUGCGCCGGGGGCCGGCAGGGGCGCAGACAGCACCGCGUGGUCGAACAAGGGGUUCCGCACC